UUAAUUAUUUAUAUUUUGUUUUUACAGACGGAUAUAUUCUCUGUAGUUCGAGUUAAAACUUCUAGUGAUAAUAUUAUCAGUUGGUUUAUGCAGAAUACAUCACAAUACUUCUCCAGAGCUUUGGUGCAGCUGAAGCCGCGGAGAAUAUUUCAGCAGAAGUAUUCUAAACUUUAAAUCUAUUAACAGACAGAUAAACAGAGAAACAGGCUGUUUUCUAUUUGUAUAUUAACAUGUUUUCGUGAAAUAAUUGUCUUAAUUAUUGUUAAUGUUGUUGAAAGGUUUCCGAUACAUAAUUUGUUUGGAAAAAAGAAUGAUAGUAAAUAAAAAACAUUUUUACAUGUUUA